rnacentral:lncRNA from 1 species
AAAAGUUAAAAUAUAUCAUUACACCAGAGACCUUACAAUGAUGUUAUAGAAGAAGUAAUUCAAGUAUUUUUCAGUAGAUCCAUAAUGCGAACAAAUAUUUCAAGCACUUUUUAUACGACCGCAAAAUUUAAAAAAAUUUUGGUCGUAUAUUGGUAUCACGUUGAUUUUGGGAGUUUUGGUCCCAACAUUUUUAGGAAAUACGGGCCAAAAAGGGCCCAAAUAAGCAAUUUCUUGGUUUUCGCACUAUAACUUUAGUUUAAGUAGAUAGAAAUCUAUGAAAUUUUGACACAAGGUUUAUGACCACAAAAGGAAGGUUUGGGAUUGAUUUUGGGAGUUUUAGUUCAAACAGUUUAGGAAUUAGGGGCCAAAAAGGGCCCAAAUAAGCAUUAUUCUUGGUUUUCGCACAAUAACUUUAGUAUAAGUAAAUAGAAAUCAAUGAAAUUUAAACACAAGGUUUAUGACCACAAAAGGAAGGUUGGGAAUGAUUUUGGGAGUUGAGGGCUGAACAGUUUAGGAAUUAAGGGCAAAAAGGGGCCCAAGUAAGCAUUAUUCUUGGUUUUCGCACCAUAACUUUAGUAUAAGUAAAUAGAAAUCUUUGAAAUUUAAACACAAGGUUUAUGAUCACUAAAGGAAGGUUGGGUUUGAUUUUGGGAGUUUUGGUCCCAACAAUUUAGGAAUAAGGGGCCCAAAGGGUCCAAAAUUGAACUUUGUUUGAUUUCAUCAAAAAUUGAAUAAUUGGGUUUCUUUGAUAUGCCGAAUCUAACUGUGUAUGUAGAUUCUUAAUUUUUGGUCCCGUUUUCAAAUUGGUCUAUAUUAAGGUCCAAAGGGUCCAAAAUUAAAGUUAGUUUGAUUUUAACAAAAAUUGAAUCCUUGGGGUUCUUUGAUAUGCUGAAUCUAAAAAUGUACUUAGAUUUUUGAUUAUUGGCCCAGUUUUCAAGUUGGUCCAAAUCGGGGUCCAAAAUUAAACUUUGUUUGAUUUCAUCAAAAAUUGAAUAAUUGGGGUUCUUUGAUAUGCCAAAUCUAACUGUGUAUGUAGUUUCUUUAAUUUUUAGUCCCGUUUUCAAAUUGGUCUACAUUAAAGUCCAAAGGGUCCAAAAUUAAACUAAGUUUGAUUUUAACAAAAAUUGAAUUCUUGGGCUUUUUUGAUAUGCUGAAUCUAAACAUGUACUUAGAUUUUUUAAGUUGUUGGUUCAAAACAGGAUCCAAAAUUAUUAUAUUAAGUAUUGUGCAAUAGCAAGAAAUUUUCAAUUGCACAGUAUUCAGCAAUAGUAAGAAAUCUUCAAUUGCACAGUAUUGCGCAAUAGCAAGAAAUUUUCAAUUGCACAGUAUUGUGCAAUAGCAAGAAAUCUUCAAUUGCACAGUAUUGUGCAAUAGCAAAUAUUUUCAAUUGCACAGUAUUGCACAAUAGCAAGAAAUAUCUAAUUGCACAAUAUUGUGCAAUAGCAAGAAAUUUUCAAUUGAUUGGAGUUAUCUUUCUUUGUCCAGAAUAGUAGUUGAAUCAACUUAAAUCAUUGUUUUAUACAAUAAACAAUGUAUAUUCACUUUUACUACCAACUGAUAAAUUAAAACAAUCUUUACCAUUCAGUGAUAACAAGCACUCUUUUUGUUACAUUUUAAUAUUUUAUGAUGUAUUUAAAUGAGUAGUUAUUGUUUCAAACUCCAUUUGGAAAUUUGAAUUGAGAUCAGUUUUGGAAAAAGGGAAAGGGGGAUGUGAAAGAAAAAUGGGGGGGGGGGGGGUUAAAUUUUUUCUCAAUUUCAGAUUUCAUAAAUAAAAAGAAAAUUUCUUCAAACAUUUUUUGAGAGGAUUAAUAUUCAACAGCAUAGUGAAUUGCUCAAAGGCAAACAAAAAUAUUUUAAGUUCAUUAGACCUCAUUCAUUCUGUGUCCGAAACCUAAGCUGUGUCAACUAUUUAAUCACAAUCCAAAUUUAGAGCUGAACCCAGCUUGAAUAUUGUGUCCAUACUUGCCCCAACCGUUCAGGGUUCAACCUCUGCGGUCGUAUAAAACUGCGCCCUGCGUAGCAUCUGGUUAAAUGGUUAAUUAUUAAUUAAAAUAGUGUCUAAACGCUCACAAUAAUAUUUGCUAUUUCAUAACAAUAUACCACCUUCAGUCUGAUGUAAAGAAAUAUGAAAGGUAGGUACAGACUUGUCUUGAAUUAUAUGAUUUUAUUUGUUUUGUAACUAUUAACUACAAUCACAUCAUACAUGUCAUAUUGACCAGAUUUUUUUUCAACAUUUGCAGCCAAAUAAAGUUUGUCAUGGAGAAGGAACCAACUGCAGCACAUCACAAAUCUGACUAAUGAAGGUUAGUACUGAAAGCAGCCAUGUUGCUGGUACCUAACUGGAUCAACCAAUCAGAAGCUGUGUUGUUUUACAGUUAGCCAAUCAAUGAUGAUGUUUUGUUUGUUUAUUUAUAAACUGAUUGUCCAUAUUUGUGUAUUUAUGUAAAUAUGAUUUUUGAUUAUUCUGUGAUGAGAUCCUUUACAUCAAAGCUUUACAAUAUACAAUCAUUCUUUUACUUGUUUAUCUGUAAUAUAUGAUCAUAUAUUUGUUCCUAAUUUCAUUUGUUUUUAAAUCAAUUUAUGUCUUUGUAAAUUUAAGAACUAUAGAUAACCUACAAAUUAUAAAAACUUGUUUGUACCGUAAACUCAAACUUCAAAUCAUUCUUUUUAUUAAAAAUAAAUUUCAUUGGUGAACUCUAUUUGCAUCCUAUCAAUUAGAUAUCAAAAAAGAAGGAAGACAUCUCAUUAAAACUCUCAGUCUUUAAAUUGCCAAAAAUUUCUUUGCUAUAGAUCUAGAGUAACAUGAGUAACUCGAAGCUUUAUUUUAAUUCUAUUGAAAGAGGUUUCUAUUGUACAGUUCACCUGCGUUUUUGCUCUGUCUUAAAAUUUCAAGUAUUAUAACAGCUUCCCCCACCAAUGAAACCUGGCUAGAGUGCUGAAAAACACAAACAUAUUUUUUUUUUAAAUUAAAAAUUCCUGACUACUGAUUUAAUAUAAUUAAUAAUUAUUUACUGCAGAUAAUAUAUAAAGGAAUGCAUGCAUUGUUUACAUUUUGUUUUGUCUUAGUAUGAUGUAAAUGGGUCUUUAAUUUGAAAUGAUGAUGUAAUCUAAUUUGCUGAGAAGUUGUAUUGUUGUGUAUGCAUUGUGUUCAAAUGAUAUGCAUUUAGUUUAAUAAUUACAUGUAGAUAUGUGAUUCUUAACUAGUCAAGUUAGCAUGUCAAUCAUGAAAACUUGAUUGUUUUACUUUACCAUUCCAUAGACAAAUGAUGUACCUUAAUUUCAGAAAUAUGUUACCCAUUGGUGGCCUUCAGCUGUUGUCUGCUCUAUGGUCGGAUUGUUGUCUCUUUGACACAUUCCCCAUUUCCAUUCUUAAUUUUAACAAUAAUUUUAUAUCGAUUUUUAUAUAUUUUCUAGAUAAUUUUAAUGUUAAAAAAUUAGAAAUAAAAAUUCAUGGUAUUUGAUGUCGAUCAUCUCUUUAGAAUACAUUUCAGUAAGACAUAUGAACAAAUUCUGCUGUAGAUUUAUAAGAUUUUGAGUAGAGUAUUUGUAAUUUGUUACAUCAUUGUACCUCCAGCAUUCUUAAUGUUAGAGUUACUAUUGGGAGGGAUAAUCAGAGACAAAUAUAUAAAAGGGAAGAUGUUCCCAUCAUCCUUUAGUUUUUAUUAUGAUUAUAUGUGACAAUCUGUUCCAUAAGAGAAAGAAUCAUAUAUCAUAAUCUAUCAGAUAUAUUUUUGAUUUUAAAUCAUUUUAUAAACAUUAGAAUUUGAAACAGCAAAUUAUGAUGUAUAUAAUUAAAAGAGAAUAUUAUAAUAUUAAUUUCUGUCUUGUUCCUUCCCUAGCAUAUCCUUGUCAUGUCAAUUUAUUAAAAAAAAAAAUUCUCUUAUUACACAUUUACAUUGAAUGGUAAUAUAAACUGCAUAACAUGGGUUUAGAGCCAAACAAGUAAAUCCUGUGCUGUUAUAAAUGAUAUAAGUAUGAGGAAUCAUGUGUUAGUAUAACUGGGUAUGUAAAUGUGAUAUAACUAGAUUGUAUUGUAAUCAGGCUCAAUGUUCAUUUACAGUAAAUAAUUGUUGUAUGAAAAUAAAUGAAUAGACUUUUGACAUUUUCA